AACCUAGCACACCUGCGGUGUGUACCUGCGGAAGGAUCAUUACAGAGUUCGUGCCCUCGCGGGUAGAUCUCCCACCCUUGUGUAUUCUCUACAUCUUGUUGCUUUGGCAGGCCGUUGGUUCGCCAACCACCGGCUCGCGGGCUGGUGCGUGCCUGCCAGAGGACCUCUCAAACUCGGUUUGUCAGUGUCGUCUGAGUACCAUAACAAUCGUUAAAACUUUUAACAAUGGAUCUCAGAUCG
rnacentral:misc_RNA from 1 species